rnacentral:rRNA from 1 species
CUGGUGGCGUGUCUUAUACAUGCAAGUCGAGCGAGGCAGCAAUGCCGAGCGGCGAACGGGGUGAGUAACGCGUAAGCAAUCUGCCCCAUAUCAGGAAAUACCCGUGCCAACGCGCGGUUAAUGUCCAGGGAGAGUGGCUAGCUGCAUGGCUGGUUGACUAGAGAUUUAUCGGUAUGGGAUGAGCUUGCGUCCGAUUAGCUAGUUGGCGGGGCAACGGCCCACCAAGGCGACGAUCGGUAGCCGGCCUGAGAGGGUGAUCGGCCACAUUGGGACUGAGAUACGGCCCAGACUCCUACGGGAGGCAGCAGUAGGGAAUAUUGCACAAUGGGGAAACCCUGAUGCAGCAACGCCACGUGUGGGAAGAAGCAUUUCGGUGUGUAAACCACUGUCAUGAGGGAAUAAGGCCCAGUUUCGGCUGGGAUUGAAUGUACCUUGAGAGGAAGCACCGGCAAACUUCGUGCC